AGCCUAUCCUGGAUUACUUGAA
rnacentral:miRNA from 1 species